rnacentral:tRNA from 1 species
GCUCGGGUGGCGGAAUGGCAGACGCGCUAGCUUGAGGUGCUAGUCCCGCAAGGGGUGGAAGUUCGAGUCUUCUCUCGAGCACCA